rnacentral:tRNA from 1 species
UCCCUGGUGGUCCAGUGGUUAAGACUCAGUGCUGACAAUGCUAGGGGCUCGAGUUCAAUCCCUGGUCAGGGAA